GGGAGUACGGUCGCAAGGCUGAAACUCAAAGNAAUNGACGGGGGCCCGCANCAACGCGGUGGAGCAUGUGGUUCCAAUUCGACGCAACGCGAAGAACCUUACCCAGGACUCGAACGGCAAUUGACAUCCUGCGAAAGCAGGCUCCCGCCAAGGGCAAUUGUCGAGGUGCUGCAUGGCUGUCGUCAGCUCGUGUCGUGAGAUGUUGGGUUAAGUCCCGCAACGAGCGCAACCCUUGAUCUUAGUUGCCAGCAUUCAGUUGGGCACUCUAAGGUGACUGCCGGUGAUAAACCGGAGGAAGGUGGGGAUGACGUCAAAUCAUCAUGCCCCUUAUGACCUGGGCUACACACGUGCUACAAUGGAUGAUACAGAGGGUUGCCAACCCGCGAGGGGGAGCCAAUCCCAUAAAAUCAUUCCCAGUUCGGAUUGGAGGCUGCAACUCGCCUCCAUGAAGCCGGAAUCGCUAGUAAUCGUGGAUCAACAUGCCACGGUGAAUACGUUCCCGGGUCUUGUACACACCGCCCGUCACACCACGAGAGUUUGUAACACCCGAAGUCGGUGGGGUAACCCUUACGGGAGCCAGCUGCCGAAGGUGGGACAGAUGAUUGGGGUGAAGUCGUAACAAGGUACC
rnacentral:rRNA from 1 species